rnacentral:rRNA from 1 species
UCCGCAUGGAAUAUUGUAAAGAUUCAUCGCUGAUAGAUAGGCAUGCGUUCCAUUAGGCAGUUGGCGGGGUAACGGCCCACCAAACCGACGAUGGAUAGGGGUUCUGAGAGGAAGGUCCCCCACAUUGGUACUGAGACACGGACCAAACUCCUACGGGAGGCAGCAGUGAGGAAUAUUGGUCAAUGGCCGAGAGGCUGAACCAGCCAAGUCGCGUGAAGGAAGAAGGAUCUAUGGUUUGUAAACUUCUUUUAUAGGGGAAUAAAGUGGAGGACGUGUCCUUUUUUGUAUGUACCCUAUGAAUAAGCAUCGGCUAACUCCGUGCCAGCAGCCGCGGUAAUACGGAGGAUGCGAGCGUUAUCCGGAUUUAUUGGGUUUAAAGGGUGCGUAGGUGGUGAUUUAAGUCAGCGGUGAAAGUUUGUGGCUCAACCAUAAAAUUGCCGUUGAAACUGGGUUACUUGAGUGUGUUUGAGGUAGGCGGAAUGCGUGGUGUAGCGGUGAAAUGCAUAGAUAUCACGCAGAACUCCGAUUGCGAAGGCAGCUUACUAAACCAUAACUGACACUGAAGCACGAAAGCGUGGGGAUCAAACAGGAUUAGAUACCCUGGUAGUCCACGCAGUAAACGAUGAUUACUAGGAGUUUGCGAUACAAUGGAUGUAGCUCUACAGCGAAAGCGUUAAGUAAUCCACCUGGGGAGUACGCCGGCAACGGUGAAACUCAAAGGAAUUGACGGGGGCCCGCACAAGCGGAGGAACAUGUGGUUUAAUUCGAUGAUACGCGAGGAACCUUACCCGGUUGAACGUAGUCUGACCGGAGUGGAAACACUCCUUCUAGCAAUAGCAGAUUACGAGGUGCUGCAUGGUUGUCGUCAGCUCGUGCCGUGAGGUGUCGGCUUAAGUGCCAUAACGAGCGCAACCCUUAUCACUAGUUACUAACAGGUGAAGCUGAGGACUCUGGUGAGACUGCCAGCGUAAGCUGUGAGGAAGGUGGGGAUGACGUCAAAUCAGCACGGUCCUUACAUCCGGGGCGACACACGUGUUACAAUGGCAUGGACAAAGGGCAGCUACCUGGCGACAGGAUGCUAAUCUCCAAACCAUGUCUCAGUUCGGAUCGGAGUCUGCAACUCGACUCCGUGAAGCUGGAUUCGCUAGUAAUCGCGCAUCAGCCAUGGCGCGGUGAAUACGUUCCCGGGCCUUGUACACACCGCCCGUCAAGCCAUGGGAGCCGGGGGUACCUGAAGUCCGUAACCGCAAGGAUCGGCCUAGGGUAAAACUGGUGACUGGGGCUAAGUCGUAACAAGGUAACC